rnacentral:rRNA from 1 species
GAUGAACGCUGGCGGCGUGCCUAAUACAUGCAAGUCGAGCGAACGGACGAGAAGCUUGCUUCUCUGAUGUUAGCGGCGGACGGGUGAGUAACACGUGGAUAACCUACCUAUAAGACUGGGAUAACUUCGUGAAACCGGAGCUAAUACCGGAUGAUAUUUUGAACCGCAUGGUUCAAAAGUGAAAGACGGUCUUGCUGUCACUUAUAGAUGGAUCCGCGCUGCAUUAGCUAGUUGGUAAGGUAACGGCUUACCAAGGCAACGAUGCAUAGCCGACCUGAGAGGGUGAUCGGCCACACUGGAACUGAGACACGGUCCAGACUCCUACGGGAGGCAGCAGUAGGGAAUAUUGCGCAAUGGGCGCAAGCCUGACGGAGCAACGCCGCGUGAGUGAUGAAGGUCUUCGGGUCGUAAAACUCUGUUAUUAGGGAAGAACAUAUGUGUAAGUAACUGUGCACAUCUUGACGGUACCUAAUCAGAAAGCAACGGCUAACUACGUG